UACGAAGGGGGCUAGCGUUGUUCGGAAUUACUGGGCGUAAAGCGCACGUAGGCGGAUCGAUAAGUCAGGGGUGAAAUCCCAGAGCUCAACUCUGGAACUGCCUUUGAGACUGUCGAUCUGGAGCAGAGUAGAGGUGAGUGGAAUUCCGAGUGUAGAGGUGAAAUUCGUAGAUAUUCGGAGGAACACCAGUGGCGAAGGCGGCUCACUGGACUCUUGCUGACGCUGAGGUGCGAAAGCGUGGGGAGCAAACAGG
rnacentral:rRNA from 1 species